GAUGAACGCUGGCGGCGUGCCUAAUACAUGCAAGUCGAGCGAACAGACGAGGAGCUUGCUCCUCUGACGUUAGCGGCGGACGGGUGAGUAACACGUGGAUAACCUACCUAUAAGACUGGGAUAACUUCGGGAAACCGGAGCUAAUACCGGGUAAUAUAUUGAACCGCAUGGUUCAAUAGUGAAAGACGGUUUUGCUGUCACUUAUAGAUGGAUCCGCGCCGCAUUAGCUAGUUGGUAAGGUAACGGCUUACCAAGGCAACGAUGCGUAGCCGACCUGAGAGGGUGAUCGGCCACACUGGAAGUGAGACACGGUCCAGACUCCUACGGGAGGCAGCAGUAGGGAAUCUUCCGCAAUGGGCGAAAGCUUGACGGAGCAACGCCGCGUGAGUGAUGAAGGUCUUCGGAUCGUAAAACUCUGUUAUUAGGGAAGAACAAAUGUGUAAGUAACUAUGCACGUCUUGACGGUACCUAAUCAGAAAGCCACGGCUAACUACGUG
rnacentral:rRNA from 1 species